ensembl:lncRNA
AUCUUUAUUGAGUCACAUCAAUUUUGCACAUAGUCGUAGUCCAGAUUUCCGCCUGGUUUGUGGAAUAGAUGGGUGUACUAAAGAGUACCGAGUCUACAACUCUUUUUGGUAUCAGAUCAGACGAACACACUCACAAUAUCUAGACGGCGUGAGUAGCAGCAGAUCCCAUCGGAGAGAGAGAUCAGCACAACACGAGGCAUCCGGUGAACCUAGAAGAACGGACAGCAACAACUUGUGGACAUAUAGUGGACCAACGCUGGUGGCUCAGGAUACUCGGAACUCAAGUGACAGUCCGGAUAAUGAAACGACACUGGAGAAUAAUGUGGAUUUUCAAACCUCUCGUCUUGUUCCUGUGGAACAUUUUGGUGAUUUUGAUGCUUUUGACACUGGUGAAACAGUUUUCUCUGGCUUAAGCAGUAACAACGUUUUGCGGUCUCCUCCGAACCUGGAAGUACAGGAUGUAUUACUAUUCGAAUCCCACUCCACCUAUUCCAAACAGGCCUUCAGAUGACUCAAGUUCUUCAUGCCUCCCCCAAGAAACCAUGGUAAAUUAAAAACUUAGUUCAUGUUGUUUAUGUCAUAGCAUAGUCUCUUAUUUAACCUAAUUAUUAUACAUUCAAGUAUAUAAUAUUUUUACUAUUUUCUUCAUGUUUAGAAUGACGAAUUAUCAAGUGAUGGUGUGCUAUCCAGACAUGCCACUGCUAUUGUGAUGACUGCUAGAGAGAAACAUCAUCUCUCACAGAGUGGUGUGAAUGAUGUUGUGGCUGUAGUUCAGGAGUAUCAAGCUCAUUUACUGAACAGCUUGAGGAGUCAGCUACAAACAGUAUUCAACAGACAUGCAGGAAGUGAACUUCAACGAGAAGCUUUGGGACUCUUUGACUCCUUUAUAGAUUCAUUUGCUGCAGUUUCAACAUCCUAUAGACAGGACAGUGUCAUAAAAGAAAAAUUCAAUUUUGUGGAAGCAGAAGAGGUUUCAGUCGGAUUAGCAGUAUGUCGUCAGAAAAGAAAAAAACUAAGAGACCUCGCAAUAAAAAACAAAUGUUUCCAUUAUAUACCCCUGAUAAAGAGUUUAGAACAAUUAAUGUCUCAUCCAAAAAUUUUUGCCAUGAUAAAUGGUGGAUCUCAGAAAUGCAGCAGUGGAUAUUUUUAUGACAUCAUAGAUGGCGAACUAAUGCUUUCACACCCUUUAUUUUCUUCUAGACCCUCUGCUUUACAGAUAAUCCUUUAUUCGGAUGAAAUCGAAAUUUGCAAUCCACUUGGGUCUCAUGCUUCAAAGAAUAAGUUGCUCAUGUUUUACUACACUUUGGGAAACAUUAAUCCAAAGUACAGGUAAAAAUUAGCUUCAAUCCGUCUUCUUGCUAUUGCAAAGCAAAGUGAACUCUCAGAAUGUGGAGUUGAUGCCAUAUUGGCAAGAUUGCAUGAGGACUUAGUAAAGCUAUAUAAUGCCGUGAAGAUUCAUCCUCCAUGUGGUGAACAUGAGAUAUAUGGAGCAGUGGUUUCCGUAUGUGGAGAUACUUUAGCUCAACAUGAGUUAUGUGGAUUUAAAGAGGGUGUGGGCUUUGCAUACAGUAAAUGCCAACAUUGUGAAUGUUCUUCUGAGGACAUGCAAAUGUUUUUUAAUAAAGAAAACUUUGAGCAAAGAACACUGGAAAGACAUAUUCGACAGUGCAGUGACAUUGAGAAAGCCAGUACUGAAUAUCUCAAGAACAGCCUUAAAACUACAUAUGGAAUAAACCGGAGGAGCAAAGUAAUGGAUUUCCCUGCCUUCAAUUUAAUCCAACAAACUCCUCAAGAUAUAAUGCAUGUAAUUCUUGAGGGCAUUGCUCCCUUGGAAAUUAAGUGUAUGCUGAAACAAUUGGUUCUUUUGGGACAACUGGACCUUGAUGCUUUCAAUGCUGAUAUCAUUGGAUUCCCAUACUCUCCACAAGAUACUAGAGAUAGGCCUAGCCCUAUUGCAUACAGUACGUUAGCUUCCAAUGACAACAAACUGAAGCAGUCAUCAGGUCAAAUGCUUGUUUUGCUCAAAAUAGUGCCCUUUCUAUUGGAUGUGAUUAAAGGUACUGCAUAUUUUUCCUUCAUUCUUGAGCUUCUGGAGAUUGUUCAAAUUUUGUUUUCACCAGUUAUUAGCCUUGAGACUACUGACAAGUUGAAAGUACUUAUUAAACAGCAUCUUAAACAUUUUAAGGACCUUUUCUCAGAGAACAACAUUACACCUAAACAACAUUGAUUCAUGUUCCAUCCCAGAUUAAACUGUUGGGACCAAUGCUCCGUCACAUGUGCAUGAGGUUCGCAUCCAAACAUUGUUUUUUUAAAAGAUGGGUUUCAAAGUCCUUAAUUAAGCAUAACCAAAUGUUUGAAUGCUGUCAGAAUGUAAACAGUUCCAACCACCCGAUUUUUGCCAGUGAAUGUGUAUUGGGACCAGUAUCAGAAGUAAAAAACAUGCCGUAUUUAAAAGGAAAAGUAAGGGACUACUUUGGAGUUGAUCAGAUAAACCAUGCAGUGUCUGUUAAGUGGAUUACUUUAAAUGGAAACAAAUACAUUAGUGACAAAACAUUACUAGUGUGUAUGGCAAAUGGUAGUAGUCUACCAGAAUUUGGACUUGUGAGGAACAUAUUCGUCAUAAAUUCAUCUUUGUAUUGUGAAUGUCAGAUGUACAGUACAGUCUGUUUUGACAGAGACUACAUGUCUUAUAAAAUUGAGGUUCCCAACCUGGCAGAGGCAACUGAACUAGUUAAUGCAGACAACCUUGUAGACUUCACACCGUAUUACAGUUUAAGUCACAGGGACAUUACAUACGUCCCUGUGAAAUAUUACCUCGGAGAUGUGAUUGAAU